AGGAAGUAAAAGUCGUAACAAGGUUUCCGUAGGUGAACCUGCGGAAGGAUCAUUACCUAGAGUUUGUGGGCUUUGCCCGCUACCUCUUACCCAUGUCUUUUGAGUACUUACGUUUCCUCGGCGGGUCCGCCCGCCGAUUGGACAAAAUUAAACCCUUUGCAGUUGCAAUCAGCGUCUGAAAAACAUAAUAGUUACAACUUUCAACAACGGAUCUCUUGGUUCUGGCAUCGAUGAAGAACGCAGCGAAAUGCGAUAAGUAGUGUGAAUUGCAGAAUUCAGUGAAUCAUCGAAUCUUUGAACGCACAUUGCGCCCCUUGGUAUUCCAUGGGGCAUGCCUGUUCGAGCGUCAUUUGUACCUUCAAGCUUUGCUUGGUGUUGGGUGUUUGUCUCGCCUUUGCGUGUAGACUCGCCUUAAAACAAUUGGCAGCCGGCGUAUUGAUUUCGGAGCGCAGUACAUCUCGCGCUUUGCACUCAUAACGACGACGUCCAAAAGUA
rnacentral:misc_RNA from 1 species